AUCCCGCCUCUGGGGGCAGGGUCGCCCUCCCCCGGCCGCUUGGAGGUCGCUGGACCAAAGGGUGGGGGCUGAGCAGGGCGUUGGCAGCUGGAUGCAUGGUGUGUGGAUGGUACUGCUGCAGCCAGAUUGCCACAAUGAGGGAGGCCCCUUGUGGGAAGAAAUUGGCCCUGACAACCGCAUGGAGACCCUGAAACAAAUCAGCUCUGAAGACUGGACUUCACAGUUUCAACAGUGGCCACACAGAGGGGCUCUUCUUGUUUCCCCAAGAGGAUGGUUUAGAAACAUCUGUGGGAAAGCCUUCCCAAAGCCCAGAGCCUGUAUUGUUUGGGAUUCUUUCAUGUCUUUGAGUGGUGCUGUCUCAAAAAAAAAAAAAAAAAAAAAAAAGCUUCUGUGUUAGCAUUUUGGCCAAAUGACUGACCUCUUGGCCCAGGGGUGGUCUCCUGGCCAUGGACGGACAUUUGACAUGGGGCAGAAUGGAUGACUAGGUGGAAGGAGUUGCUCAGAUCAAUGGCUGAGUCCCUUGGGAAGCCAGUUCUUGUCAGCCAGGAGUCCACAGGUCGGGGCAAAGUUGCUGAGAAGAUGUUACCCCUUACGGAGGCAGCUCUGCUUCUUCCCAGCAGGGAGAAGGGUCUGGGCUGAGCUACGCCAAACCCUGCCAGCCUGGUCUCCGUCCCGCCUCCAGGGGCCCCGGGAGGGACACUCAGCUCAGGAGGACUCAUCUCCAUGGGGUCACUGAGGGGCCCUGAAGAGGGGAAUGUUCCCCCUUCUCGCCCUCCGUAGUCCUCGGGGCGCCUGGCCUCCUAGGGGCAAAGGGCAGCUGUGGGCCGCUGGCCAUGGGGGUUUUCUCCCUUCUCCCCCUGCUGACUCUUCUGUCUCCCACUCCAAAUGGAAGCAGGGGUGGCCUUUAAUGUAAUUUAAAAAUGUAAGCCAAAGAACAGGCACAUGGACCACAAUCAAUAAGUAUAGAGGGUUUAUAACGCAAAGAAGUGCCUCUUGUCCUGUCCCUCUCUUCCCCUCUCCAACCCAAUUCACGGAGACAAACACAAAAAAUAGAAAUCUGUUUCUAUUUUUGUUGUUGUUGUUCUUUGGAUAGUUGCCACUGUAAUUCUAGAUAACAUGCUUAUAAUUCAGUUACUUGAUUUCUCAACGUUAGACAAUUUCCAUUGAUGCCCAGACUCCACUCCUGUGAAAGCUCAUUACAAGUUAGACUCUUGCCUAAUUCUGGUUUUAAUUCUAGUGGUUACUUUGGUAGCUUUUGAUAAAUAAUUACCCCUCUGCUUCUUAUCCCAUCAACAAUAGAGAAUCUCAUCCAACUGCCCUCUGGGAUGAGGGUAACAGUCCUUUCCGCAUCUUGUCCUAAGUCCCAUCUUCCUACAGAGUCGGCAAGUUGCUGUCAAUACCCUUCUUCCUCCUGCUCUAGUGACAGAAUCUACCUAUGGCCACCCAGUCCGAAGACCACAGUUCUUAGCUUCUCCUACUCCUCGCUGUUUCUUGGGACUCUUCUGGUCGCUGAGAUAUAAGUGGAGGUGUUUUGUGGAACCUCCUAAAAUUAAGGAGACUGAGUCUGUCUUGAACCUUUUCUCCUUCCUCCUACCUGAAAUGCAGAUGUUAUGGCUGGUGCUUUGGCUGCCCCUUUGGACCAGGCAGAUGUGGGCCGGGAUGGUAGAGUGGAGGGCCAGAAGGGCUUGGUUCCUUAUGAUUUCACAGAGCUGCUGUAACAGCUCUGGAUUGCUUCCACACAGACUUCUUUUAGGUGAGAAAUAAAAUUCUAUUUUGUUCA